rnacentral:lncRNA from 1 species
CUUCAACCAUUAAGGUUGUGUAAAGUGUUUGAUGGUGUCCGUCACCUCCACCUCCAUUAAGAGUUUUGAGGCCAGAAGCAGCAGUAACUAAUUGUGUGAUACAGCUAUCUAAAUCUGUAUUUAAAACAAGAAUGGCUGUAGAACAGUAAAUGUAGAAUUGGCUAUUUACUUUAAUGCCAUGUCCUAGAUAUUUGAAGGACACUGCUCAGAAUGAGCUGUUAUUUCUGUCUUAUGGUACCAUUUUUUCCAAUUAUACUUCAGGUUUUCUGGAAGAUAUUCUGAAGAGAAUAAUGGUUGCAAGCAAUGAGGAUGAUGGAUCUCACAGGAUUCAAACUGAUAUCUUUAUAAAAAAGAACAUUGUAAAACGUGAAUCUUCUCCAGGAAAUCCAGGAUCCUCAGGCUUCUGGAGUUCCUGCUGUUUCUGCUCAUGUCAUUGUGACAUUUCCCAUGGAAUCCAGCUCUGGACUUCAGGUGUAAGAAAACAUCCUCCUCUGGAUGCCACUUCAGUGAACAAUUUAUUGUGGGGAAAGGAGAGGAGUCAUUGUUCUUCUAAGCUUUACUAUCUGUGACAGUCACUAAACAGAGAAAAUAUGAGUGCACCCUUUGGGAAACAGAAUGAAGUCAGAGAAUGUGGCCUGAAGAGACACGUGAGAGCAAAGCUAAUCAAACUGCAAUCCUCAUAAGACAUAGCAGGAUAUUUUUUUAAUUGCAGUACUUUUGUACAUAAUAUUCUGCUAAAAAACCAACAGGGCUUUCUGAAGAAAAAAUAGACAAACAUAAUUUAUUUAUAAUAAUAAAUUGUCUGCUG